GACGAACGCUGGCGGCGUGCCUAAUACAUGCAAGUCGAACGCAGUGGGGACGGGUGAGUAACACGUGGGUAACCUCCCAUCAGAGGGGAUAACACUUGGAAACAGGUGCUAAACCGAUACUGAUGGAUGGACCCGCGGUGCAUUAGCUAGUUGGUGAGGUAACGGCUCACCAAGGCCACAAUGCAUAGACGACUUGAGAGGUUGAUCGGCAACACUGGGCCUGAGACACGGCGCAUAAUCCUACGGGAGGCAGCAGUAGGGAAUGUUCGGCAAUGGACGAAAGUCUGACCGAGAAACGCCGCGUGAGUGAAGAAGGUUUGCGGAUCGUAAAACUCUGUUGUUAGAGAAGCGGUAUCUAACCAGAAAGCCACGGCUAACUCCGUGCCAGACGCCGCGGUAAUUC
rnacentral:rRNA from 1 species